rnacentral:lncRNA from 1 species
AAGUUGUCACACCUCCAAUGCGAGAUCACGAGCUAAGGAUCAUGGCAACCGCCACAUAUUCAUAGAAAACUCUUCCCAUAAGCAUGCAUGACAUCUCAUCAUGAUAUCAUAAAUAAGCAGUGAAAUAAAAUUAAAUGAUUAAUUUUCAAAUCUUAAUUCAAAUAACUGAAUCAAAACUCAACAUCAACAAAGAAAAUAAGUGUUUGAUAAAGUCAGCAUUAAACAAGUCUUGCAUCAAC